UACGUAGGGGGCAAGCGUUGUCCGGAUUAUUGGGCGUAAAGGGCCAGUAGGCGGCCAACUAAGUCGGAUGUGAAAUCCCCGGGCUCAACCCGGGAACUGCGUCCGAUACUGGAAGGCUUGAAUCCGGGAGAGGGAUGCGGAAUUCCAGGUGUAGCGGUGAAAUGCGUAGAUAUCUGGAGGAACACCGGUGGCGAAGGCGGCAUC
rnacentral:rRNA from 1 species